rnacentral:lncRNA from 1 species
GGAGCCACUUCUUGAAGGAGGUAACAUUGUAUCCUUGUGUUCAUCAUUUUCUUCAUCCUCCUUUUCUUUCUCUAAAAACCCUCUUUUCUUUUGAAGGUUUUACUUUCUUCGGCCAAACACUCUUGAUAGGUAAGAAAUCUCAAAUUUCUUGCUGCAAUCGAAGGGUAUCAUAGUAUGGAAAAGGAUUUUUGAAAUUACCAAAAAGAUUUCUUCACUUUUCGAAAAAUUAGGGCUUUUUGUGUAAAAUCCAAAAUCUUGUGCUAAUCUUGUUAUUUGUGUUCUUGCAUGUCUAAUCCAUGUUAUAAUCUGUGAAUCUAAGCAUUUUGGUGUUUAAAGGUUUAAUAUUUCGAAUUUUUGGAAUUUUGUAAAAAGAAAAUGAGUUUUCCAGAUUUUUGGGGUUGCAUGUGUAGAUCCAUGAAUUUUUAGGACUAAUCUGCAAUUUCUUGAAAUUUCAGCAAUGAAAAAUGUUUUCAUCUUUAAUAUCUCAGUAGGAGUAAGUGGAAUUUGAUUAUUUGUUAUUUGGCCUUAGUUUUGGAUUAAUAUUUGUUGGGAAAAUCAUUUUUGGCUUCAACAUUACUUGCCGAGUAUUUUAAUUUGUGUAAAUCCGAUUUUUGAGGAAACUGCAAAAUGCUUUUUGCAUCUGUUCAUUUAGUCAGUUAGGCAGCUUAUAAUUAAAUUUGAGAAUUUGUAGAUGCUAUUUGCUAUUAUUUUGAAAUAUUGCUUGUGCAUGUGUCAUAAAUAAAACUUUUGUGUUUUAAUCAUUAUGCCAUGUGUAUUAAUUGUGAGGAUGUGAAUUGAUAGUUAAAAAUCUGCAGUUGAACUAUGUUAAGGGGCUGUAAGAAUUUUAAUUCAUUAAAUGAAUAAAAGUGGGAGAAAUCCCAUAAAUGAAAAGAUAGAAAUGUUGGUGCUUUAAGGGCAUGGUUUGCUAAUUUAAUGCUAAUUAAAGUGUGUUUUGGGGCUGCAUGUUGUGUGUGUGUAUAUGUGUGCCGUGUGUGUGUGUGUGUGAUUUAUAUAAAUAUAUAAUAUGAUAAUAAUGUGAAUUAUGUGCUAUGCUUAAGUGGUUAUAUAUAUAUAUAUAUAUAUAUGUGUGUGUAUGAUAUGUGUGUGAUUGCCGUGUGUAUUAUGUGGAUAACUGGAUUUAUUUGUAUGCUCGUUGAUUGAUAUUUGUGAUGUCGUAAAGUGGUCAUUUUUAGAGUCUCAUACGUCUCAUGGUCUUGCAUAAAAAGAAAUUUCAUUUUUACGAAAGGAAAGGUUAAUGGAAUGCUUGGGUUGGAUAAGCUUUUGGAGGGUCGUACGAGGGGUCUAUAAACUAUGCUUAUUUUAUUUUUGGUGAUGUAAACUAAACAAUUUCCGUAUUUUCGUUUUUCCUUAAACUCUAAUAUUUCCUCGUUAGGGAAAUCAGACUCUUAUCCAAGUACAGGCCUUAUUUUGAUAAUAAUAUAGUUGGUCCGCUUAUUUUGAUAAUUGCAUUUCUUACCCGAAAAUCCCUAUUCACCAAAUACCUUAAAACUCUGAUUUUUUCUCGAACCCAAAUUAGAACCUAUAGUUAGAUAAACGUAGCACUCGAAUAAUAAUCUCCCUUUCUCAAGUUAUUUUCAAAACAAAAAAAUUUAAACGACCAAAAUCACCCUAAGAAGUUUUCGAAAUUCUCAAGGCUUUCAAAUGACCCAAAAAAAAAAAAAAUAGAGAUUUUUAUAAAUUACAUUUUGGUCCUACUCGAAAGUUUUAAAAAUUACAAAGAGAUCCCUUUUGCUUCCGUUAUUUAAAUAAAGUUUUCCGAUAAACCGGUUCGAUUUAUCGCCCGACCCGAGGGGGGUGCUACAGAGAGUGGUAUCAGAGCAUUGUUUAUAGAAAACUCGUACGAACGAAAAGCUGGGCUUGAAGACUAACGAGACACGAUGACUCGUCCAUUCGGUAAUGUUAUGUGUAUUAUGUGUUUUAUUUAUUUAUGUGAUUUACUUAUAAAUUGCAUGAUAGGUUAUAGAAAUUAUGGCAAGACGACUAACCCGGAAUUCCCAAGACACUCCCACUAAUGAACCAACCGACCAUAACCAAACCAUCCAUAACCUCUCGAACCUUAUCCGAGAACAAGCCCAAAACCACCAAAGACAAAUUGACCAACUUCUCCAACGAAACCAUCCUCCUCCGCCUCCUCCUCAAGCGGCACCUCACGCCAUUUACGAACGAUUCCUCAAAAUGAACCCCUCCGAAUUUCAUGGUGGAACCGAUUCGAAAAUAGCCGAAGAAUGGGUCAACCUAGAAGUGAUCUACGACUACAUGCAAAUGACCGAUCGUGAUCGUGUGCAUUGCGCUCUAUUCUUACUUCGAAACGAAGCUCGUCACUGGUGGGAAGGAGUUAAGGAAGGAGUCGACCUCGACACUAUACAAUGGACCGACUUCAAACUACAAUUCUUCAAAAAAUAUUUUUCCAAAGACGUACGUACCCACAAACUGAAGGAAUUUCUAGAACUUCGUCAAGGAGAACUGCCAAUGCUCGAGUACAUCCGUCGCUUCGAACGUGGCUGCCUCUACGCCCCAUUCAUCGCUCGAGACCCCGAAGAGAAAAAGAAUCACUUCAUCCGUGGCCUACAACCGGAGAUCCGACGAGAUAUCCGCAUGUCCGACGCCUCGACUUUCAGACAACUAGUGGACAAAGCCCUGAUGGCAGCCCAAGACGAAAAGGAGAUCCAACAGAAUCGUCGAUCCCAAGGCACGAGUCAACGCCCAUGGAAGAAGGCUAACUUCGGCAACCACAAAUUCAAGGGCAACCGAAGCUAACCAUCGAGUCAAUCUGGACUUCCACAGCCGCCCAAACCAACUUGCCAACAAUGCGGGAAAUCACAUUGGAGUUUGUGCACAAGGGAUGAACACGUGCUUCAGAUGUAGAAAGACCGGACACAUAGCAAGGGAUUGUCCGAACGCUCCGAAUCGUGCUCAAGGACGUGUGUUUGCCAUGAAAAAGGAGCAGAUUGAGCAAGAUCCCUCAAUGAUAGCAGGUACUAUAUACAUUUUCGACGAACCUGUCUAUGCCUUAAUUGAUUCCGGUUCUACUCACUCUUUCAUAUCAAAGAAUAUGAUUAGAAGCCUUAAGAUCAAACCUAGUCACUUGAAUCACGAUUAUAGCAUACUCAUUCCCUCUGGCGAAGAAAUGAUCUCGAACCUAGUGGUGACCAACUAUUCGAUCAGAGUUCAUUCGCAACCUAUGAAUUUCGACCUCAUUGUCCUUCCGAUCCGCAAUUUUAAUAUCAUUCUAGGAAUGGAUUGGUUAACCGAAUAUAAAGCCCAAAUUGACUGUGCCCCCGAAAAUGGUUAUUUUUCCUUUUCCAAACGGCCAAAUCCUAAAAUUCCAAAGCCAAGCCAAAACCUUGAUUCCAAUUAUCUCAGCCAUAAAAGCCGUCAAACUCAUUCAUAAAGGGCAUUUCGGCUAUCUAGAAGAUGUCGUGAAUCCCGAACCCGACGCCAAACCUCAAUUGUCCGAUGUUCGAACAGUACGAGAAUUUCCUGACGUAUUUCCCGACGAUAUUCCCGGACUUCCACCCGAUGGAGAAAUUGAGUUCGAAAUCGACCUAAUUCCCGGAGCCGCACCAAUUUCCAAAGCCCCAUAUCGCAUGGCCCCACUUGAAUUGAAAGAAUUGAAAGAUCAGAUCCAAGAGCUGCUCGACAAAGGUUACAUUCGACCUAGUCACUCACCAUGGCGAGCCCCGGUGUUGUUUGUCAAGAAGAAAGACGGAUCCUUUCGUCUUUGUAUCGACUACCGAGAGCUCAAUAAAAUCACUAUCAAGAAUAAGUAUCCUCUCCCACGAAUUGACGAUCUGUUCGACCAACUCCAAGGUUCUUCUGUCUUUUCCAAGAUUAAUCUUCGAUCCGGGUAUCACCAACUCAAGAUCAAAGAAUCCGACAUUCCGAAAACCGCCUUCCGAACGAGAUACGGCCACUACGAAUUCAUCAUCAUGCCUUUCGGUCUAACUAAUGCUCCCGCCGCAUUUAUGGAUCUCAUGAACCGAGUCUUUCACCCGUAUCUAGACCAAUUCGUAAUCGUCUUCAUCGAUGAUAUUCUCAUUUACUCCAAGAACGAAGAAGAUCAUUCCUCUCACCUCCACACUGUUCUCCAAACUCUUCGAUCUCAUCAGCUGUACGCCAAAUUCAGCAAGUGUGAGUUCUGGCUAUCCAGUGUCUCUUUUCUUGGCCACAUCGUCUCAGCAAGUGGAAUCUCCGUAGACCCCAGCAAGAUAGAAGCAGUCUCCAACUAGUCAAUUCCGAAGAAUGCAAAGGAGAUAAGGAGUUUUCUCGGUCUAGCCGGUUAUUACCGCAAAUUCUUACAAGAUUUCUCGAAACUCGCAUCGCCACUCACUCGACUCACUCGAAAGGAUGUCAAAUACCAAUGGACCCUAGAAUGCAACGCUAGCUUCACCGAACUCAAGAAUCGACUCACCUCUGCCCCAAUUCUAGCACUACCGGAAAGAACUGGAGAAUUCAUAGUCUACAGCGACGCCUCGAAGCUAGGGUUAGGAGCCGUACUCAUGCAGAAUGGAAAAGUUACAGCCUACGCCUCUCGACAACUCAAGGAGUACGAACAGAACUACCCGACCCAGGAUCUCGAAUUAGCCACCGUUGUCUUCGCACUCAAGAUCUGGCGACACUACCUUUAUGGCGAAAAGUGCACCAUCUACACCGAUCACAAGAGUCUUAAGUACUUUUUCACUCAGAAGGAAUUAAAUAUGAGGCAAAAAAGAUAGCUCGAACUAGUCAAGGACUACGAUUGCGAGAUACUCUAUCACCCGGGUAAAGCAAAUGUCGUGGCAGACGCUCUUAGCUGCAAAUCAAUCAACGCCCUCAUUGUUCAGCCAAAUCUGACAGAAGCAAUCCAGACCGCUCAACAAGCCGAUCCCCAAGUCCUCAUAGUUCGCGACAACCUCGCAUCCAAUCCGAAUUUCCGAAUCUCCGAGGAAGGAAUUGUCCGAUUCCAAAACCGCAUCUAUGUACCUAACGACUCCAAGAUUCUCCAACUAAUCCUAACCGAAGCCCAUCAAACCGUGUACACUUGCCAUCCCGGAGCAACCAAGAUGUACGAAGAUCUGAAGAAACUCUAUUGGUGGCCCGGAAUGAAAGGAGAAAUCGCCCAAUUCGUCGCCGAAUGUCUAGUGUGCCAACAAGUCAAAGCAAAACACCAAAGACCCGGAGGUCUACUGCAGUCCAAUCUGAUUCCGGAAUGGAAAUGGGAAGCUGUCACAAUGGAUUUCGUUCAAGGGUUUCCAAAGACCCAAAGAGGAUCCGACGCCAUUUGGGUAAUUGUCCACCGACUAACCAAGUCCGCCCAUUUUCUUCCCGUUCGAAUGACCUUUAGCCUAGAGAAACUAGCAGAGCUGUACGUCCAAGAAAUUGUCCGACUUCACGGUGUUCCAGUCUCUAUCAUUUCUGACCGAGACCCUCGAUUCACGUCCAAAUUCUGGAAAAGCUUACACGGAACCCUCGGUACUCGCCUCAAUUUUAGUACCGCUUUUCACUCGCAAACCGACGGUCAAUCCGAACGAACCAUCAAAACCCUAGAAGAUCUACUCCGCGCUUGUAUUCUCGAUUUCAGAGGAAAUUGGGAAUCACGACUUCCACUAAUCGAAUUCGCCUACAACAAUAGCUUCCAAUCAUCUAUCGGAAUGGCACCGUACGAAGCUCUCUAAGGUCGCAAGUGUCGAUCCCCACUCCAUUGGGAUGAAAUUGGAGAAAGAAAAUUCCUUGGCCCAGAGCUAGUCCAACAAACCGUCGAGAUAAUUCAGAACAUUCGAGAAAGAAUGCGUACCGCCCAGAGCCGACAGCAAAGUUACGCCAAUUCUCGAAGAAGAGACUUAGAAUUCAAUGUUGGAGACUUCGUAUUUCUUAAAGUGGCACCUUUCAAAGGAGUAAUGCGAUUUCGAAAAAGGGGAAAGUUAGCGCCUCGUUUUAUCGGACCCUUUGAAAUUCUCGAGAAAAUCGGCACCCAGGCCUAUCGUCUAGCCCUACCGCCUAACCUGUCAAAUUUCCACAACGUAUUCCACGUGUCGAUGCUCCGUAAAUAUAUCCGUAGCCCAGGUCAUGUUCUAAAACCCGAACCUAUCGAAUAAACCCCCAACCUAACCUACGAAGAAAAACCCUCCUAAAUCCUCGAAUACAAAACCAAAACCCUACGUAACCGAACCAUUCGCUUAGUUAAAAUCUUGUGGCAUAAUCAUACUUUAGAAGAAGCCACGUGGGAACGUGAAGAGGAAAUGCGUAAACACUUUCCGGAAUUAUUCGGGUCAGGUAACAAUUUUGGGGACAAAAUUAUUUUAAGGGGGAAGAUUGUAACAUCCCACAUUUUCGAAACCCUAAUCCCUAACCAAGGUUCCAUAACCCAAAAAUUCUCACGUAGAAAUCAUUACGAAUUUCACUAACUUAAAUUCCUUAAGUGCCUUAUAUUGCCUAUACAAAUAAUCCUUAUAUGCCGAUUUGAUUAUAUGCCUUAUGUGCUAGGAAUUCAUUGAAUAAUUAUGUGCCAGUUUUAUUUCGAUAAUUAUGUGAUUAAGUAGAUUAAUUAUUAAUAAUUAUGUGUUAGAUUAAUUUAUGUGACUUAUGUGAAUACAUGUGCUAUAGUUAAUUUUGUGGCAUUUUAAUUUAAUUCUCUAAGUGCCUUACAAUACCUUAUAUAAUACAUGCAUGCACAUGUACAUAUACGUUUAUACAUAUAUAGCUAUAUGCCUAUGCAUGCUAGAUAUACGUAAGUGAAAUACAUAAUUAAAUAUAUGUGUGUGUGUUUUCGGAUACGUGUGUGUGUAAGAGUUAAUUAGUGAAUUUAUUAAUUAGUAAAUAAAUUAGGAAAAGAUGCAUGCUUGUACACUUGGCAAAGAGUGAGGAUUUACACUGAUCCUACACUCAAGCAUGCUAAGUCAUCUCAAGAGACACUCUCAUGUCUUCUUCUCUCUCCACCUAUAUCCCCACUUGUCUUCUCUUCACCAUCACCACCGAAGCACCACCUCCUCCAUCAGCCAACACCUCAAAAUUCUUCAAGAAAAAAAAUAGAGAAAUCAAAAUGCAAAUCCCCUAUAUAAGCUUCACCCUUGAAUAUGCUAAAAACACCAUAAAAAACACUUGCCCUCUUACGGGAGAUUUGAACUCCUCCCAACUUUAUAUCAAAGCUCUUACCUUCUCCAUUCAACUAGCUUGGUUCAAUCUUGGAGCCACUUCUUGAAGGAGGUAACAUUGUAUCCUUGUGUUCCUCAUUUUCUUCAUCCUCUUUUUCUUUCUCUAAAAACCCUCUUUUCUUUUGAAGGUUUUUCUUUGUUCGGCCAAACACUCUUGAUAGGUAAUAAAUCUCGAAUUUCUUGCUGCAAUCGAAGGGUAUCAUAGUAUGGAAAAGGAUUUUUGAAAUUACCAAAAAGAUUUCUUCACUUUUCGAAAAAUUAGGGCUUUUUGUGUAAAAUCCGAAAUCUUGUGCUAAUCUUGUUAUUUGUGUUCUUGCAUGUCUAAUCCAUGUUAUAAUCUGCGAAUCUAAGCAUUUUGAAUUUUUGGAAUUUUUGGAAAAAGAAAAUGAGUUUUCAAGAUUUUUGGGGUUGCAUGUGUAGAUCCAUGAUUUUUUAGGACUAAUCUGCAAUUUCUUGAAAUUUCAGCAAUUAAAAAUGUUUUCAUCUUUAAUAUCUCAGUAGGUGUAAGUUGAAUUUGAUUAUUUGCUAUUUGGCCUUAGUUUUGGAUUAAUAUUUGUUGGGAAAAUCAUUUUUGGCUUCAACACUACUUGCCGAGUAUUUUAAUUUUUAUAAAUCCGAUUUUUGAGGAAACUGCAAAAUUCUUUUUGCAUCUGUUCAGUUAAUCAGUUAGGCAGCCUAUAAUUAAAUUUGAGAAUUUUUAGAUGCUAUUUGCUAUUAUUUCGAAAUAUUGCUUGUGCAUGUGUCAUAAAUAGAACUUUUGUGUUUUAAUCAUUAUGCCUUGUGUAUUAAUUGUGAGGAUGUGAAUUGAUGGUUAAAAAUCUGCAUCUGAACUAUGUUAAGGGGCUGUAAGAAUUUUAAUUCAUUAAAUGAAUAAAAGUGGGAGAAAUCCCAUAAAUUAAAGUGUGUUUUGGGGCUGCAUGUUGUGUGUGUGUAUGUGUGCCGUGUGUGUGUGUGUGUGAUUUAUAUAAAUAUAUAAUAUGAUAAUAAUGUGAAUUAUGUGUUAUGCUUAAGUGGUUAUAUAUAUAUGUGUGUGUAUGAUAUGUGUGUGAUUGCCGUGUGUAUUAUGUGGAUAAUUGGAUUUAUUUGUAUGCUCGUUGAUUGAUAUUUGUGAUGUCGUAAAGUGGUCAUUUUUAGAGUCUCAUUCGUCUCAUGGUCUUGCAUAAAAAGAAAUUUCAUUUUUACGAAAGGAAAGGUUAAUGGAAUGCUUGGGUUGGAUAAGUCGGGAUACGGGGGGCCGGUAUCCCAACCAUAGUUACUGUAGAUAAAUGGGUGGUUUGAUCCCACCAAAAGAACGGGCUCAGAAUAAUAAGCUUAUCAUCCAAGUAACGAAGUUAAUUUUUCACGGAUCCGAACAUCAGAAAAUGUUUUCAUUCGUGCAUUUGCACGAAACGGGUAAAAUGGUAAAUUUUAGCCUUUGAGUCGAAAAAAAGGGCAAAUUGGUAAUUUUCAGUAUUUGCGUCGAUUUACGUGCUUAAAUGAAAUUUCGUGUUUAUGUGUGUGUGUUCGUUUGCCGACGAAUGGUAAGGUGUGAUGCUUAUGUGUAUAUACUAAUAUAAGUACCUAAAACCAUAUUUUAAAACCUCGUUAUCCAUUCGGAUUUCUUACUGGGCUUAAUAGCUCAUAUAGAUACUUCUUUGAUUGCAGGUAGUAGUAGAAAUCCCGCAUCGGAAUGGACCGAGUAGUGGAUCAGAGUCUUGGCCGAAGCUUUUGGAGGGUCGUACGAGGGGUCUAUAAACUAUGCUUAUUUUAUUUUUGGUGAUGUAAACUAAACAAUUUCCGUAUUUUCGUUUUUCCUUAAACUCUAAUAUUUCCUCGUUAGGGAAAUCAGACUCUUAUCCAAGUUAAGGCCUUAUUUUGAUAAUAAUAUAGUUGGUCCG